rnacentral:rRNA from 1 species
UACGGAGGGUGCAAGCGUUGUCCGGAAUUAUUGGGCGUAAAGAGCUCGUAGGCGGUUUGUUGCGUCGGCUGUGAAAACCUGAGGCUCAACCUCAGGCCUGCAGUCGAUACGAGCAGACUAGAGUGUUGCAGGGGAGACUGGAAUUCCUGGUGUAGCGGUGAAAUGCGCAGAUAUCAGGAGGAACACCGGUGGCGAAGGCGGGUCUCUGGGCAACAACUGACGCUGAGGAGCGAAAGCGUGGGGAGCGAACAGG